AACAAGAACACGCGAUGGGCAAGGUAUCGGAAGUUUCGAUCGAGAGUCUAGUGUGUACUGAAUAAUAUCUAUGUGCUAAUGGCAAGUCUUAAACCAGUUAGCACAGCGAAUAUGAUCCCGAAAAGUGCAGUUAUAGGUCAACGUAUGUUGAUCAGAGUAGUUGUUCAAUUUCUUAUUCUAUGUAAAUACACAACUACAGCCAAAAAGUCUGUCUUUGCCGUGAGAUAUGUUGGUAGGCUUGAGUGAUGGGUGGGUAAUGUCUAUGACAUAAUCGGAGUGUCGUGAUUACAAGUCGGCCUGAUAGUUCAAAUCUAAUGAUAUUCAACGGAAUCAUGUUUGAAUGGAUGUUUGAAUAUUUUUAUAUGGUGGUCUAAACAGAACCUUUGAUGUUGGCGUUAGUUUUGAUAUGUGAUUCGCUGGAUCCAAAGAUUGUUGAAUGCUGCUAGAUGCAAUAUGCAUGCUGUUCGUGAGUACGAUUCUGAUAUGAUCUAUGUAGAUCGUCAAUGAGUAUUAAUUUUACCAUGUUAUAUACUACAGAUUACAAUUACUACAAAUUAAAGCAUUAUAUCAAUCAAAUAAAGUGUCGUUCGUAUGUGCAAAGUUUAUUUUAUAUAAUAGUUUAAAAGAAAUAUCUCGUGUUGCAAGCCAUGUGAUUCUUUGGCUUGAAAAAUAGCCUUUAUAUCGCAACCGGGGCUGUCGACCAGGAAAUUGGUGCGCAGAAUUACUUGGAAAAACAUCUCUUGACUUUCCUCAAGCAACACAAUUGUUCCUUGCUAUUUUGACCGGAUUUUGCAUCUUGCCAUUACGGAAAAAGGCUACGGAGUACUACGCCGCGAACAACGUCCGGGAGGUGCCUAUGGACAUGAACCAGGUUCGUGCGUAGAAAAUUCUCAAGGGAGGGGUUUUGAUUUUUUUCGUUCCUUAUAUAGGGAAGGUAUGGAAUCCUUCAAACGUUGAAGAUAUUUUCCGAGUCCCGGAAGGCUGAGUCUUGUGUCGACUUGGCUCAACAAAUUCGGACAAUGUUUGUGAUCGAGAAGCAAUCUUGGUCAGACACCACCACCUACUGGUUCAUGGUAGUGUCGGAUUCUUACUGUGGUUGUUUGUAGUGAGCUUACCGACUGAACCUAAACCUCUUGU